rnacentral:rRNA from 1 species
CCUACGGGUGGCAGCAGUGGGGGAUAUUGGUCAAUGGGCGCAACCCUGAACCAGCGACGUCGCGUGAGUGAAGACGUUCCUCGGUAUGUAAAGCCCUGUUAGUCGGGAAGCAAGAGGGUACCUGACUAAGAAGCCCCGGCUAACUACGUGCCAGCAGCCGCCGUAAUACGUAGGGGGCAAGCGUUAACCGGAUUUACUGGGUGUAAAGGGAGCGUAGACGGCUGUGCAAGUGUGAAGGGAAAGCCCGUGGCUUAACCGCGGAACUGCUUUGGAAACUGGAUAGCUUGAGUACUGGAGAGGCAGGCGGAAUGUGUGGUGUAGCGGUGAAAUGCGUAGAUAUUAGGAGGAACACCGGUUGCGAAGGCAGCCUGCUGGACAGAAACUGACGUUGAGGCUCGAAAGUGUGGGGAGCAAACAGGAUUAGAUACCCUUGUAGUC